rnacentral:rRNA from 1 species
AGCGUAGACGGUGUGGCAAGUCUGAUGUGAAAGGCAUGGGCUCAACCUGUGGACUGCAUUGGAAACUGUCAUACUUGAGUGCCGGAGGGGUAAGCGGAAUUCCUAGUGUAGCGGUGAAAUGCGUAGAUAUUAGGAGGAACACCAGUGGCGAAGGCGGCUUACUGGACGGUAACUGACGUUGAGGCUCGAAAGCGUGGGAGGCAAACA